CACGUAGGGUGCGAGCGUUGUCCGGAAUUAUUGGGCGUAAAGAGCUCGUAGGCGGUGUGUCGCGUCGGCCGUGAAAACCUGUGGCUUAACCAUGGGCUUGCGGUCGAUACGGGCAUCACUGGAGUUCGGGCAGGGGGAGACUGGGAAUUUCCUGGUGUAGCGGUGAAAUGCGCAGAUAUCAGGGAGGGAACACCGGUGGCGAAGGC
rnacentral:rRNA from 1 species